UGGAGCAACGUUUCUCUCUAGAGCUGGGCGCUGAGCUGGGGGCUCCUCUUCAGCUGUUCCGUUUCCUGGAGAUUCCAAGUGUCUCUGUAGCAGCCUCUUGCACCCUGUGACCUGCAGAUACUGGGAGAUCUGUAGGGAGGACAACGGGACAUCCUCGAAGCUUGGAAAAUAGUCUUGGUAUCUCUAAGCCAUCACUUAUCACCUCUCUGGAGAAAAGCAAAGAACCCUGGAAAGCAAAGAUACAACAGACAGUAGUCAAGUACCCAGGUUGAGAAGUUUCUGAUUCUAUACCUGGACUUGGUCCCCUGAAUCCUCCAGAGGGAAAGGAUAUACAGACAGAAAAGACUGGAAGUCCUCAAAGGAGUUCUUGUUGGAGGCUGCCUCCAGUCGGUCAUCUGCCUAGAAUCACCCCUGUGAGGAUACAGAGAGUCAGCGAGAGACUUCUGGACCCCAAGAAGAGGACUAAAACAGUGGAAAACCGGCAAGUGGUUGCAUGUGUUUAAUCAGUCUAAACCCGCCCACAACUAAAUUCUGAGUGUGCUACCAUGUCCUCUGUAUCCUUGUGACCAAGAAGUGCUGAAAAAUCUGAAAGGAGGAUGUUAGGACAACAUGGAAGCUGGGAUAUGCACCACCUAUUGAUGGAAGGAAGAACGAGUCCUUUAAAAGCCCCAGAGAAAUCCAGGACUUUGGGUAUAUGUUUGGAUUAUGUUUUCAGCCAGAAUGUUUUGAAGAGAAGAAAUUUAAAAUUGAAGAGCAUAUUUAUGAAUAUCAUCAAUUUGAUGACUCCUUCAUUCAAACUUUGUUAUUCUUCCACCAACAACCAUUACCUUCACAUGCCAAAAUCCACAACUGGAAUCAGUAUAGUAAGAUGUUUAUCCAAUAAUCAUUGCUUGAUCAUUAUCAGGGAUUAAAUAAUUAGGGAAAACAUUAAAUAUUCAGGAAAAUUUUGAUAAUUCUUUUUACAAAAUUUUACACUAAAUAAUUAUCUAGGUGAUUAUAUAAAUGAGAGAAUUACCAAUGUAAUGAACUUGAAAAGAUCCUGAUUGCUAUAUAGACUCGUACUCUAUAAAUGCCUAAAAGCUCAAUAUCCAGAGAUCCUGUGCAAAUGUAAGAAAUGUGAGAAAGUCUUUCAUCAAUGUUUGAAGCUUAUCAUCUGUGAUGAUACACAUAAGUGAGAGUGUGUAUUUCUACAUUUGCAUCGAAUAUGUGGAAGCUUUUCCCCAGUCAGGAAAUUCAUAUGGUAACAAAGUCAUACAGAUAGAAUACAUGCAAAAAUGCCUCAGUCUUCCAACCUAAGAAAUUACACAGUUCAUAGUGGAGAAAACCCCUACAAGUGUAAAGAAUGUGGCAAAGAUUUUAAUAAUUUUUUUAAACUUUAGAGAAAGAGUAUCAGAGGACUCACAGUGGAGAGAAACCCUACAAAUGUGAAGAAUGUGGUAAAGCCUUUAAAUGGGGCUCAACACUUACAAAACAUCAGAGAACUCAUGCUUUAGAGAAAUCCUACAAAUGUGAAGAAUGUGGCAAAUCCUUGAACAAGUUCUCAGCUUUUAUAGCACAUCAUACUGGAGAGAAACCUUACCAAUGUGAGGAAUGUGGCAAAGCUUUUUUUUUUUCUAGAGACGGAGUCUCACUAUGUCGCUCUCAGUAGAGUGCUAAGGCUUCUUAGCUCACAGCAACCUCCUGCUCCUGGGCUCAGGCAAUUCUCUUGCCUCAGCCUCCCAGUAGCUGGGACUACAGGCACUUACCACAAUGCCAGCCAUUUUUUAUUGCAGUUUGGCCAGGGUCGAGUUCGAACCCACCAACCUUAGUACAUGGGGCCAGCACCCUACUCACUGAGCCAGGCGUUGCUUUUAAAUGGUGCUCAGGUUUAACAGCACAUAAGAUAAUUCAUACUGGAGAGAAACCUUACAAAUGUAUGGAAUGUGGCAAAGCCUUUAAGCAGUGCUCAAAACUUAAACAAUAUCAGAGAAUUCACCCUGGAGAGAAAUCCUACAAAUGUGAGUAAUGUUUCAGUCUUUAAAUGCCUCUCAUAUCUUACAGCACACAAGAGAAUUUAUGUUAGAGAGAAACCAUACAAAUGUGAAUAAUUUGACAAAGCCUUUAACCAGUCCUCACAUCUUUCAGCACACAGGAGAAUUCGUAUAGGAGACAAUGCUUACAAAUGUGACGAAUGUCUCAAAGCCUUUAACUGGUGCUCAGUUUUUGCAGAACAUAAGAGAAUUCAUACUGGAGAGAAGCGUUACAAAUGUAAGGAAUGUGGCAAAGCCUUUAAAUCAUGUUCAGAUCUUACAACACAUAGAAGAAUUCAUACUGGAGAGAAAACCUUACAAUUAUGAAGAAUGUGACAACAUUUUUAACUGGUGCUCGCAUCUUACAGCUCACGAGAGAAGUCAUACUGAAGAGAAAACCCACAAAUGUGAAGAAUGUGGCAAAGCCUUUAAGCAGUGCUUGAAACUUAAAUGACAUCAGAGAAUUCACAAUGGAGAGAAAUCUUACAAAUGUGAAGAUUGUGGUAAAGCCUUUAAAUGGGGCUCAGUAGUUACAAUGAGAAUUGAUACUGGUGAGAAAUCCUACUAAUGUGAAGAAUGUGGCAAAGCCUUUAACUAGUGCUCAAUUGUUUCAAGGCACCAAUGAUUUCAUUCUGGAGAAAAACUCUACAAAUGUCAAGAAUUCAGCAAAGCCUUUAACCAGUACCCAAUCCUUUCUAGGCAUCAAAGAAUUCAUUCUGAAAUGAAACCCUACAAAUGUCAAGAAUGUGGCAAAGUCUUUAACCAAUACUCACACCUUUCUGGACAUAAAGGAAUUCAUUCUGGAGAGAAAACCCACAAUUGUAAAGAAUGUGGCAAAGACUUUAACAAUUGCUAAAACCUUACCCAACAUCAGAGAAUUCACACUGCCCAGAAUCUCUUUAAAUGUGAUGUAUGUGGGGAGGCCUUUAACUCUCACUUUAGUUUUAUAAACAUCAGAAGGUUCACACUAAAGAGAAACAAUACUAAUACGCAGAAUUUUGCACUUCCUUUUUAUAUCUGACUCACAUCAAAAAAACUCUAAUUUUGAGGAGAACCCCUAAAAAUUUGAGGAAUGUAGCAAAAUGUUUAACUGUCUUUCAAGGCUUAUUCAACAUCAGAAAAUGUGUAUCACAAAGAAACCAUAAGUACGUUAAGACUGGCCACAUAUUAUUAAAGUUCAGGCCAUAGACAAUAUCAGGAAAUUUAUAUGAAAGAGAAACUAUACGAAUGUAAAAAUAUCUGAACAUUUAUGCUACAGAAACCCUAUAGAUAUAAUACAAGUGAAAAGAGUUUUAUCCCAAAUACACAACUUGGACAUCAUUAGGGAGUUUGUACAAAGACAAACAUUUAACAAGUACAAUAAAUGUGCACAAGUAUUUAAUUAAAACUGAACUCUAAAUGCCUCUGAGGAUUCACACAAGUAAUAACUAAAGGAUGUUUUCAGACUUUAACUUAAAUUAGUUACUGUAGAGAAAAAUGUGAAGCCCGUUAAUUUCAUGUUAUUUUUUCAAAAGACCAAUAACUUUUAUGUUUUGCCAUGUAUAAUUAUUAGUAUAUUCAUGGAUGCUUUGCACUGAAAAUAUUUAAAAUUAUUCAAAAGUGGGCAUGACAGCAGGUCACACCUGUAAUCUUAGCACUGUGGGAGGUGGAGGUGGGUGGAUUGCUUGACCUUAUGUAUUCUAGACAAGCCUGAGCAAAAGAGUGAGACUCCCCAUAUACUAAAGUAAAAAAUUUUGAACAUUCUGACAGGUGCCUGUAGUCCCAGCUUGGAAGGCUUAGGCAAGAGGAUUGCUUGAUUCCAGGAGUUUGAGGUUGCUGUCAGUCAAAAUGCCAUGACACUACCCAAGUGACAGAGUGAGAUUCUGUCUCACACCCACAAAAAAAAUCCAGAAGCAAAUAUUGAUGUUAUUCAAUCCUCAUAUCAGUCAAUGCUAUAAAGUCAUUCCUAACAUGUAUAUGAAAAUAUGUGAUCUGUUGUUUCUUCCUUGGGGCUAUGUGUGGCCAUUUAAUGUUAUGUGAACAUGAUUAGUAUCAAUUUUUCCAUGGAAGAUCAAUGGUGAAUGUAAACUACACUAAGAAAAUGUAAAAAUUUUCUCAAUUUUUCUCAAUCCUCAGGAUAGCAAGAGGGACUUUGUCUAACAAUUGCAAUCAGUGUAGCCUGGCUUAUUGCACCAUCAAUGAAUCCCCAACAAUAAAAAAAAAAUGUUGGGGGGGCUUUGAACCAUAAAAGUGUGAUGCAUGUAAACAUACAAAGGGUAAUUUGGACAUUUUUCUCUGGAUUAAAGAGUAAAUCUUUCUAAAUUUUGAAAAUGCAUGGUUUUUCCACUUGUGUUUCAAGUAAAAAAAACAAAACAUAAAAA